GUGACCGUAAACGAUGCCAACCAGCGAUUCGGCGAUGUUCUUUUUGUGACUCGCUGAGCAGCUUCCGGGAAACCAAAGUGUUUCGGUUCCGGGGGAAGUAUGGUUGCAAAGCUGAAACUUAAAGGAAUUGACGGAAGGGCACCACCAGGAGUGGAGCAUGCGGCUUAAUUUGACUCAACACGGGAAAACUCACCCGUCCCGAACACUGCGAGGAUUGACAGAUCAAGAGCUCUUUCUUGAUUCAGUGGGUAGUGGUGCAUGGCCGUUCUUAGUUGGUGGAGCGAUUUGUCUGGCUAAUUCCGAUAACGAACGAGACUCUGGCCUACUAACUAGCGGCGGUAUUCACGUCUCCCGCGCGACGCCGCGCUGCGCUGCGGCUGAGCACAGUCGUCGCCGUUUGCGCGAGCGCUCCGCGGAGCACCUGUAGUGCCGGCAGCCGCUUCUUAGAGGGACCAGCGACACUUUCGCAAGCCGCACGAGAAAGAGCAAUAACAGGUCUGUGAUGCCCUUAGAUGUACGGGGCUGCACGCGUGCUACACUGACGGCGUCAGCGUGCGUUCAAGCCCGGCCUGGCAAGGCCAGGAAAUCGGUUGAAACGUUCUCGUGACUGGGACAGGGAAUUGCAAUUAUUUCCCUCGAACGAGGAAUUCCCAGUAAGCGCGAGUCAUCAGCUUGCGUUG
rnacentral:rRNA from 1 species